rnacentral:misc_RNA from 1 species
CUCUCUAUUCUUGAUCAUCCUCCGCUGCCUUCGCUCUACAACCACCUCCGGGGGACCAUCAAUUAUCCUCUUCUUGUUUUGCUGCUGCUGCUGCGCCUGCGCAUUCAACUCGAAAAGACCUUGAUCAUUUUUACCCUUACUUGAAACUUCCCCUACCCUACUAUAGCCUUUGGUUUGUGGUGGGAACAUUUGGUAUGGUGUAAAACCAUUAGCAGCAGAGAAAUUGUUUCCAAUAGUUUGGUGGUGGGCAGCAGAAAAUCCAAUUCCUACCACUUGCCCCAUUCCAAAUGUUGCAUCCAAAGCACAUGAGCUUAUAUUUUGAAUACUAGGAAUUACCAUUUUUUGCUGGGAUGAACUAGACCCUGGUGCUUCUUGUACAACCCCAGCUUUUAUCAAGAAAUCUUCAAGGGUCAUUUCUCCAAGGGUUAGUUGGCGUUGAGGAGGUCCUUGAGGACCAAUAUUGGUAGGGUUUUGGUGUUGGGGACUACCUUUUUGUAUCUCAAACCACACUUCAUCCACAGUUUUCUUGCAGAGAGGUGAAGGAAUAGAGAAGGAACCUUGUCGAGCCAAUAGG